AAUAUUGAAACAUCCGAUCAGAAGAAGCUCGAUUAUUUUGGAUCUCUAGACGUAGGAGGAAGAACGAAAAAACCUGGACAGAAAAUUUACCUUCAUCCACGGCCACCCCAGCUUUGUCGCCAUCUUGUCUUGUGUCCUUACCCAGCAUGCAACGCGGCAAGAUGGCGGCCGUGCAGUGCUUCGGAGCAGGGAGACGUUGUGUCUGCGUCAGACGAAACUAAGCAAAGAAGAGCUGCAUGUAUGCAGGAGUCAGCACCACCAAUGUUGUCCAAGUGAAAGACUGGCUGAUACAGCUUGGCAUCAUCAUCACAGACAUUGCUGUUAGACUACAAAGAGCAAAUACUGAAUCUGCAGUAUCUUUUCUGAUACUCCAACAACUCUCUCAAUCCACUGCCCUGGACAGACUCUAUUUCUACACAUUUGAAGUACAAUCCAAAUUUUAACAUUCAGCUCACCCUAACAUCCACAAAGUAUUGAAUGCAAGACCAUUUCAGAAAUCCUCAAUAUUCAGUCAAUUAUUUGUGACAUAUGACUGCUCUAGUAAAAAUGACCAGAGUUAUUAAACAUCAACAGCUUUAAGA